AUUGAACGCUGGCGGCAGGCCUAACACAUGCAAGUCGAACGAGUGGCGGACGGGUGAGUAAUGUCUGGGAAACUGCCCGAGGGAGGGGGAUAACUACUGGAAACGGUAGCUGAUACCGCAUACCAUCGGAUGUUCCCAGAUGGGAUUAGCUAGUAGGUUGGGUAACGGCUCACCUAGGCGACGAUCCCUAGCUGGUCUGAGAGGAUGAACAGACACACAGGAACUGAGAAACGGUCCAGACUCCUACGCGAGGCAGCAGUGGGGAAUAUUGCACAAGGGGCGCAAGCCUAAGGCAGCCAUGCCGCGUGGAUGAAGAAGGCAUUCGGGUUGGAAAGUACUUUCAGCGGGGAGGCGUUCAACGCAGAAGAAGCACCGGCUAACUCAGUGCCAGCAGACGCGGUAAUAC
rnacentral:rRNA from 1 species